UACAGAGGUCCCAAGCGUUGUUCGGAUUCACUGGGCGUAAAGGGUGCGUAGGUGGUUGGGUAAGUUUGAUGUGAAAGCUCUGGGCUCAACCCAGAAAUGGCAUUGAAUACUAUCCAGCUAGAGGAGUGGAGGGGGGACUGGAAUUCCUGGUGUAGCGGUGGAAUGCGCAGAUAUCAGGAGGAACACCAGAGGCGAAGGCGGCCUACUGGGUCAGUACUGACGCUGAGCCGCGAAAGCCAGGGGAGCGAACGGG
rnacentral:rRNA from 1 species